rnacentral:rRNA from 1 species
UGCGUAGGCGGUUUAUCAAGUCGGAUGUAAAAGCCCCGGGCUCAACCUGGGAUUGCCAUUCGAAACGGAUAGACUAGAGUAGGGUAGAGGAAAGCGGAAUUUCCGGUGUAGCGGUGAAAUGCGUAGAUAUCGGAAGGAACACCAGUGGCGAAGGCGGCUUUCUGGACCCAUACUGACGCUGAGGCACGAAAGCGUGGGUAGCAAACAGGAUUAGAUACCCUGGUAGUCC